GUGCUCGCUUUGGCAGCACAUAUACUAAAAUUGGAUCGAUACAGGGAAGAUUAGCAUGGCCCCAGCACAAGGAUGACAUGCAAAUUCAUGAAGCCUUCCAUAUUUCU
rnacentral:snRNA from 1 species